rnacentral:rRNA from 1 species
CUUGACCUCAAAUCAGGCGGGACUACCCGCUGAACUUAAGCAUAUCAAUAAGCGGAGGAAAAGAAACUAACAAGGAUUCCCCUAGUAACUGCGAGUGAAGCGGGAUG